GCAGACAGAUCCUUCAGCCUCAGGAAAGCUUCUUGAUGACGCGGUCCUGGCUGACAACCGGACUGCAACCUCAUGAGAUACCCUGAGCCAGAACCACCAGCUAAGCCACUUCUCAAGUCCUGACUCACAGUGCUGCAAGAUAAUAAACGUUUUGGAGUCAUUCGUAACACAGCAAGUGAUAAUGAAGAUACGUGGGUUGAGUGGGGCUUUGCCUAAUAUGCCCUAGUGCCUCCUGAAAGUGAAUGAGGCCAGCUGGGAUGACUAGGCACUGCUCAGAGAGCUGGGGUAAGGCCACCGUGUGGUUUCCUAAAAGGAGUGAAAGUAGAGAGAGCCUGAGAUGAGCAUCUUCCGGAGGGAGGGACUAUGUCGCCUGGGAGAGAGUCACACACACCUGGUUUCUGGGGCUCUGGGCCCCAGAGGCAGGUGUCGUCUAGGGAUAAAGAACGAGAGGUAAUGUCCAGAGGAGGAGGUCCCUUCUCUGACAGCCUGGGGUCGGAGGAGGCAAAGCUUUUGUUAAGAGGCAGUUCCCUGGCUUGAUCAGAAGAGGAAUGUCAGCCAGCUUCUGAGGACUGCAAUACCAGAGCUUCUGAGGCAAACUGGGACAUAGAAGAUUGAAGAAGGCGCCAGAGGCACAGAGACACAUUACUGGAGCCUUGGAGAUGGUGGUCAUGGAAGCCAUUAAUAAAACAUGGAACUUUCUGGAACAUUGGUAUUCAUCAUCAUCAUCUCUCACCCUCAUGUCAACACUAUUUAUUUAUA
rnacentral:lncRNA from 10 species